AACGAACGCUGGCGGCAGGCUUAACACAUGCAAGUCGAACGCCCCGCAAGGGGAGUGGCAGACGGGUGAGUAACGCGUGGGAACGUGCCCUUCGCUUCGGAAUAGCCCCGGGAAACUGGGAGUAAUACCGAAUACGCCGUAUUGGGAAAGAUUUAUCGGCGAAGGAUCGGCCCGCGUUGGAUUAGCUAGUUGGCGGUCUAAUGGACCACCAAGGCUACGAUCCAUAGCUGGUCUGAGAGGAUGAUCAGCCACACUGGGACUGAGACACGGCCCAGACUCCUACGGGAGGCAGCAGUGGGGAAUCUUGGACAAUGGGCGCAAGCCUGAUCCAGCCAUGCCGCGUGAGUGAAGAAGGCCUUAGGGUUGUAAACUCUUUCGCCGGAGAAGAUAAUGACGGUAUCCGGAGAAGAAGCCCCGGCUAACUUCGUGCCAGCAGCCGCAGUAAGAC
rnacentral:rRNA from 1 species